AACGAACGCUGGCGGCAUGCCUAACACAUGCAAGUCGAACGAUGCCUUCGGGCAUAGUGGCGCACGGGUGCGUAACGCGUGGGAAUCUGCCCUUGGGUUCGGAAUAACUCAGAGAAAUUUGAGCUAAUACCGGAUGAUGACGUAAGUCCAAAGAUUUAUCGCCCAAGGAUGAGCCCGCGUAAGAUUAGCUAGUUGGUGGGGUAAAGGCCUACCAAGGCGACGAUCUUUAGCUGGUCUGAGAGGAUGAUCAGCCACACUGGGACUGAGACACGGCCCAGACUCCUACGGGAGGCAGCAGUGGGGAAUAUUGGACAAUGGGCGAAAGCCUGAUCCAGCAAUGCCGCGUGAGUGAUGAAGGCCUUCGGGUUGUAAAGCACUUUUGAGAGGAUGAGGAAGGACGGUACGUCUCAGAAUAAGUCUCGGCUAACUACGUG
rnacentral:rRNA from 1 species